rnacentral:rRNA from 1 species
GAUGAACGCUGGCGGCGUGCUUAACACAUGCAAGUCGAACGGGAUCGGCUGGAGCUUGCUCCGGCCGUGAGAGUGGCGAACGGGUGAGUAAUGCGUGACCGACCUGCCCCAUACACCGGAAUAGCUCCUGGAAACGGGUGGUAAUGCCGGAUGCUCCAGUUGGAUGCAUGUCCUUCUGGGAAAGAUUCUAUCGGUAUGGGAUGGGGUCGCGUCCUAUCAGGUAGUCGGCGGGGUAACGGCCCACCGAGCCUACGACGGGUAGCCGGCCUGAGAGGGCGACCGGCCACAUUGGGACUGAGAUACGGCCCAGACUCCUACGGGAGGCAGCAGUGGGGAAUAUUGCACAAUGGGCGCAAGCCUGAUGCAGCGACGCCGCGUGCGGGAUGACGGCCUUCGGGUUGUAAACCGCUUUUGACUGGGAGCAAGCCCUUCGGGGUGAGU